UCCAGCUAUUCGCCGGCAGUCCCCUUAGAGUUCCCAGCAUUACCUGAUGGCAACUAAGGGCAAAGGUUGCGCUCGUUGCGGGACUUAACCCAACACUUCACAGCACGAGCUGACGACAGCCAUGCAGCACCUGUAUAAUUGUCCCUUGCGGGAAGGCGCACUUUCAUGCGAUGUCAACUACCUUUCAAGCCUGGGUAAGGUUCUUCGCGUAGCCUCGAAUUAAACCACAUGCUCCACCGCUUGUGCGGGUCCCCGUCAAUUUCUUUGAGUUUCAGUCUUGCGACCGUACUCCCCAGGUGGUGGAUUUAAUGCGUUAGCGUCGGCGCCGGAGGGAUCGACACCCCCGACACCUAAUCCACAUCGUUUAUGGCAAGGACUAC
rnacentral:misc_RNA from 1 species